UACGGAGGGGGUUAGCGUUGUUCGGAAUGACUGGGCGUAAAGCGCGCGUAGGCGGAUCAUCAAGUCGGGGGUGAAAUCCCGGGGCUCAACCCCGGAAUGGCCUUCGAGACUGGUGGUCUUGAGUUCGAGAGAGGUGAGUGGAAUUCCGAGUGUAGAGGUGAAAUUCGUAGAUAUUCGGAGGAACACCAGUGGCGAAGGCGGCUCACUGGCUCGACACUGACGCUGAGGUGCGAAAGCGUGGGGAGCAAACAGG
rnacentral:ncRNA from 3 species